UCAUGGCUCAGAUUGAACGCUGGCGGCAGGCCUAACACAUGCAAGUCGAGCGGCAGCGACUUAACUGAACCUUCGGGGAACGUUAAGGGCGGCGAGCGGCGGACGGGUGAGUAAUGCCUGGGAAUAUGCCCUGAUGUGGGGGAUAACUAUUGGAAACGAUAGCUAAUACCGCAUAAUCUCUUCGGAGCAAAGAGGGGGACCUUCGGGCCUCUCGCGUCAGGAUUAGCCCAGGUGGGAUUAGCUUGUUGGUGAGGUAAUGGCUCACCAAGGCAACGAUCCCUAGCUGGUCUGAGAGGAUGAUCAGCCACACUGGAACUGAGACACGGUCCAGACUCCUACGGGAGGCAGCAGUGGGGAAUAUUGCACAAUGGGGGAAACCCUGAUGCAGCCAUGCCGCGUGUGUGAAGAAGGCCUUCGGGUUGUAAAGCACUUUCAGUAGGGAGGAAGGUAGUGUAGUUAACACCUGCAUUAUUUGACGUUACCUACAGAAGAAGCACCGGCUAACUCCGUGCCAGCAGCCGCGGUAAUACGGAGGGUGCGAGCGUUAAUCGGAAUUACUGGGCGUAAAGCGCAUGCAGGCGGCCUGUUAAGUCAGAUGUGAAAGCCCGGGGCUUAACCUCGGAAUUGCAUUUGAAACUGGCAGGCUAGAGUCUUGUAGA
rnacentral:rRNA from 1 species